UCUGGCGGCAGUAGCGCGGUGGUCCCACCUGACCCCAUGCCGAACUCAGAAGUGAAACGCCGUAGCGCCGAUGGUAGU
rnacentral:rRNA from 15 species